GGCAGACGGCUGAGUAACACGUGGGAACCUACCCCUAAGUCGUGCAUAGCUCAUCGAAAGAUGGGGUAAUUCGCGAUAGUCCCGUAUCGUAAGAUACAGGGUAAAGAUUUUUCGCUUAGGGAUGGGCCUGCGGCCUAUCAGGUUGUUGGUAAGGUAAUGGCUUACCAAGCCUAUGACGGGUAGCUGGUCUGAGAGGAUGUACAGCCAGAAUGGGACUGUGACACGGCCCAUACUCCUACGGGAGGCAGCAAUUAGGAAUCUUGCGCAAUGGGCGAAAGCCUGACGCAGCGACGCCGCGUGGAGGAUGAAGGUCUUCGGAUUGUAAACUCCUUUUAUUGGGGAACAAGUUCUGAGUGUACCCAAUGAAUAAGGACCCCCUAACUACGUGCCAGAAGGGUCGGUGAUACGUAGGGUCCAAGCGUUAUCCGGAAUUACUGGGCGUAAAGAGAUGCGUAGGCGUUUUCUUAAGUUCUUUGCCAAAUCUUAUGGCUCAACUGUAAGACUGCGAAGAAAACUGGGGAGAUAGAGGAAGUUAGAGGAAAGUGGAAUUCC
rnacentral:rRNA from 1 species